rnacentral:rRNA from 1 species
UACGUAGGGGGCUAGCGUUGUCCGGAUUUAUUGGGCGUAAAGAGCGUGUAGGCGGCCAGGUAGGUCUGGUGUGAAAACUCGAGGCUUAACCUCGAGAUGUCAUCGGAAACCAUCUGGCUAGAGUCCGGAAGAGGAGAGUGGAAUUCCUGGUGUAGCGGUGGAAUGCGCAGAUAUCAGGAGGAACACCAAUAGCGAAGGCAGCUCGCUGGGACGGUACUGACGCUAAGGCGCGAAAGCGUGGGGAGCGAACAGG